rnacentral:rRNA from 1 species
AACGAACGCUGGCGGCAGGCCUAACACAUGCAAGUCGAGCGGACCCUUCGGGGUUAGCGGCGGACGGGUGAGUAACGCGUGGGAAUAUGCCCUUCUCUACGGAAUAGUCCUGGGAAACUGGGGGUAAUACCGUAUACGCCCUUUGGGGGAAAGAUUUAUCGGGGAAGGAUUAGCCCGCGUUGGAUUAGGUAGUUGGUGGGGUAAUGGCCUACCAAGCCGACGAUCCAUAGCUGGUUUGAGAGGAUGAUCAGCCACACUGGGACUGAGACACGGCCCAGACUCCUACGGGAAGCAGCAGUGGGGAAUCUUAGACAAUGGGGGCAACCCUGAUCUAGCCAUGCCGCGUGAGUGAUGAAGGCCUUAGGGCUGUAAAGCUCUUUCAGCUGGGAAGAUAAUGACGGUACCAGCAGAAGAAGCCCCGGCUAACUCCGUG